rnacentral:rRNA from 1 species
AACGAACGCUGGCGGCAGGCUUAACACAUGCAAGUCGAACGGGUGUAGCAAUACACCAGUGGCAGACGGGUGAGUAACACGCGGGAACCUUCCUCGUUGUACGGGACAACUCAGGGAAACUUGAGCUAAUACCGUAUACGUCCGAGAGGAGAAAGAUUUAUCGCAGUGAGACGGGCCCGCGUCGGAUUAGCUAGUUGGUAGGGUAACGGCCUACCAAGGCGACGAUCCGUAGCUGANCUGAGAGGAUGAUCAGCCACACUGGGACUGAGACACGGCCCAGACUCCUACGGGAGGCAGCAGUGGGGAAUCUUGGACAAUGGGCGCAAGCCUGAUCCAGCCAUGCCGCGUGAGUGAAGAAGGCCUUAGGGUUGUAAAGCUC